CAGAAUCCGCAGCAGGCUCUAGGCUCUGAGCUGUCAGCACAGAGCCUGUUGUGGGGCUCGAACUCAUGAAUGGUAAGAUCCUGACCUGAGCCAAAGUUGGAUGCUUAACCAACUGAGCCACCUAGGCACCCCUGUGGUUCACUUUUUUGACAGAAGUACAGACAUCUCUCUGACAGAAGUAUAGACUGUGGAGAAGCUUCCACAAUAUUUUAGAAGCACUUAUUACUGGUUACAUAAUUAAGAUUUCAUUUAGGUUUAAUGAUAGCCAACUUGGGAGUCCACAUACUGAAGAGUAAUACUAAUGUUCUCAGUGCAACUGGGCAUUGGCACUUCUAAUUAUUACUUUGCCUGGGCCAGGGAGACCCCCUGGUUUCCUGUAGGAUGCUGGUUAUUCCUUCUCUGCUAAUUUCUACCACCUAUUUAAUUGUUUCAUAUGAUCAGAAGCUGGAUAAGAAAAAAGAGAAAAUAGUAACACUAGUAGUUUGUUACUGAUGAAGGGAUGUUAAAUCCAUAAGAAUGAAUUUGUUUCAAGAAAAUAGCUAUAGCUGUAGCCUUCUAAGCAUGAAAAAUUUUCUUUUAAGACUCAGAAGUUCCUCUCUGUGGUAAAAAACAAAUCUAUUGAAUACGCCGUGUUUGUUCAAUUACUGAGGUAGAAUUCUCUGUUUUGAUUGUGAAACAUUAUCACGUUAAUACAAAUAUUGAUGGAGAAUGACAUGCUUUAUCAAGCUCCAAGUUUAAGAGGGCAAACAGAAAAAAUAUGUCGAACUGUUUGAGCCAAGCAAUUAGUUUCUGUUUACUUUAGGUCUAACUCAGUGAGCUGCCGAGAGAAUUCUUAUAGUGCUUUCUCCUCUCCAACACAGUUGAGGAUCGUGACCUUGAUCAGGUCAUGCAGUCCCAAAAGUGUCCGGUUAUUUGACAGUUUUAAUAGGAGGCGUUCUCAAAAUCAGCAGAAAUUACAAAAAUGUAGUUUUCAACAAAGCUAGUGAAAAUGUGGCUGGCAGAACUCCAAGUCAGGCGUCGUGGCCCAUGAGGUAAGUCAGGAAAAGUGCACUUUCUCUGACCUGAGAAAUCACCGCAGUACGUUUCUGUCUUAAUCCUACAUUUAAAAAAAGGCAGUAUUAAUUCUGAGUGUGCCUUUUAAGAAAAUUUGUGUAACCGGUUUCAGAAAAAUAGAAACACUCGUGGGGGUACCUGGGUGGCUCAGUCGUUUAAGGCUCUGACUCUUGGUUUCGGCUCAGGUCAUGAUCUCCUAGUUUCGUGAGUCUCGAGCCCCACGUUGGUCUCUGUGCUGGAGGUGGCGCGGAGCCUGCUUGGGAUUGUCUCCCUCUUUCUCUUUCUCUUUCUCUCUCUCUCUCUCUCUCUGCCCUUCCCCCACUCACACUGUUUCUGUCUCAAAAUGAAUUAAAAAAAAAUAAAAGAAGUAAAUAAAAACACACAUUAUUUAAAGAGUUCAGAUGUGGGGCAUGUUCUGUCCAGGGCUGCUGGCUAUUCUCCCCAGGUUCCUGAUGCUCAGCUCCGUGACCCAUUGCAACGCUGCCAUCCUUGGAUCCCCCGCUGCUCUCUGGCCAGCUUGUCUUUUCAUGUGUGCCUCUGGGGGAUGUUUUUUCAAGCCUUGGUAAACAAGGUACAUUCAGAUUGUAUUCGGUACAUGGUCACAAUUCUCUGAGUUAUGCAGCAUCUCGCUGAGACAUCCUAGCUAAAGUUAAAGCUGCUCUUCCGCUCUGGUCCCAGGCUUCUGAUAAACUCCCAUGAAAAGUGUCCACAGGCACAGGAAAGCAAGUGGACCGAGUCAGCAGAAUUCUUGAAGGAAGCCAGUGCAGUGUGAUAAGUGCGAGAUGCACUUUGAAUGAAAACCCUGGCCACCGAUGUUGGUUAGGAUUGAAUGGAAAGAGACUUGUCUGUUAUUUCAUGAAAGUGAGCAAAGAAAGAGGAAGUGGCAAGGAGAAUAGGGACAGUAUUUUUUCUUCAUCUCGUGUUAGCCCUUCUCAAAGUAGAAGAUUCUCUUGCUGUAUCUGCAUCCGGUCACAUAGCUGGCUUUCAGCAAAUGUUGAAUAAAUGAAUGAAUAAUGUUGAAUGAAUGAAUGAAUAAUUCUUCUACUAGAAUAGGAGCUGGGCCUUAGCUUCUAGGCCUUCAUCUUCUAUUCUUCAUCCUUCUGUAACUCAGAGGGCUUUGGCAUAUUCUUGGGACCGGGAUAAUGUAGUCUCCACAUAAACCCCUCUCCCUACUUUGAGCAUAGGGGUGCACAUGAAAACAAAGUGAGGAAGGGCCAGUGCCCGUCUUCCCUACUCAAGUGAGGUGUCUGAAAGAAUCUUUCAGAAGACACUAAAGAAAUCCAUCUCACUCACCCUGUGCUGGCCGUGGCUGCACAAAUAAGGAGCUGUGCAUGCAUUAGCUGCAUCGUGGGCUAGCCAGUGUAUCUUGGCACUUGAUAUUUUGGCAACAGAGAUACCCAGAUACUUCAAGGGAGGCUCCCUCCAGAUGUUUCUAAUGAGAACAGCAGAUGAAAGCGCUUGGCAUCUGCUGUUCUUGCAAGUAUUUGAGAUGUAGCUCUGUUUUUGGAGUCGUGGAUCUUAGAAGCUGGCCUACCGCUGUGGUUCGUCUCACCCCAGAGCACUCGAUUUUGCUCCAGCUGGCUGUCUAGUUAAGAAGAUGUUUUGUCUCUGGAAGACAAGUACUGAGAAAAUUAAAACGUAGAAGUGAAAGCCGUAGUCUGAUUUUUGACCACAUCUGCAGUCUUGGAAAGUACAGAGUGUAUUCAGGCUUAUUCUGAGCUUCUGUCUUUGAUGAACUUCCUGACAACACUGAGUAAACUGAUGUCUUUCCUGGAAGAGGGUCAUGAUUGGGCUUUUUGGGUGUGAUGAAGUGUAUAUGAGAUUGAUUUCUCCCUUUGGUUUCCUUUUUGAGCAGAGAUGAGAUUUUGGAAUAGAGGGCUUUCCGAAGAGGUUGUCCCUAUUGCCUUGGCAUCAUAUUUCCUUUUUAGAGCCACAACAGAAUCUUCAGAGGGAAAAAUAGAUGGAAUGUUUCAAGACUGACCAAGUCAGAGGUACAGUAGAUAGUAAAAGGGGCACCAGCCAACCAGACGGGAUGCUCCAGUGGCCCCGAAUGGCAGUGGUGUUGCCCCGAGAUAAUUACAGCACAAGGAUGAAGCCUCACCACCCUCAUUCCAUCAUACUUGGUGAGAGGAAAGGGAGCAGAGUCCUGCAGCCUGGUGGCAUGAUUUCUAACGUUGUUGAUAUCAUAUUCUUUGAUUCUAUGGACGGUAGUGUGGGAGAUGCCUUCUUGUGCUGUUGAACCCCGGUGAAACGUUGACUGUGAUGUUCAUGGCUUUCACGUCUUUCUCAGUCUAUUCUACGAGAGUGUCUAGUAGAGAGCAGGCAAUGAAUGUAUGCAUGCAGCAGUAGAGAAUGUCUGCAUGUAACUGAUUAGGAGGCAUGAGGCCCUUGUGUGAGAUGUUUCCUUUGGUAGCUGGAGAUAACAUUUAAUUAGAAGAGCUUUAGUGGGUUGUGCCUUCCUUUUUCUUUCUUGAUCCUGAAUUUUUUUUUAAAUGUUUAUUUUUGAAGGGAGGGGCAGAAAGAGGGAGACAGAGGAUCCGAAGUAGGUUCCAGGCUCUGUACUGACAGCAGAGAGCCUGAUACGGGGCUUGAACCCAUGAACUGUGAGAUCAUGACCUGAGCUGAAGUCGACGCUCGACUGAAUGAGCCACCUAGGUACUCUUUGAUACUGAAUUUUUAAAAAUGUAAUCAUGAAAUAAAAAACUGUAUGGCAGUUUUUAAAACUAAUUUUCAAAGUAAGUAUGUUGACCUCGAUGGAUAGUAUGUAUAUGUUGGAGGGGGGCUGCUGCGUGUGUGUAUGUUAUAGUACUAAUCUAUUUCUUCACAUUUGUUGUCCUUAUAAAGUAGAGCCGAUGUUCUUUUCCCCAUUUUAAUUUAGCUACUCCCCGUUGUGUUUUGGGAAUGUUAUAUUCAAAAUGAAUUCUGUGCUACAACGUAAGUAACUAUAAUUGUGGCAAAUCACUACUUGCGUGUUGAUUUUGGAUUUAGACAGGACAACAGAGCUUAGGAAAGAACAAAGCAAAAUGAAGUUUGGGGAGAAAAGGGAGACAACUGUAGACUAAUGCAAACCAACAGAACUAAGAAAAUCAAAGGAAAACACAGUAUGAUGCUUUCAGAAAAAUAAUGGGCAAAAUGUUCUUGUCUACUUUGAAAUAAUACCUGUUGGUACUGUGUGAUGGGCAUAUAAAGUUUCAUCAUGCUAGUCUCUAUUUUUAUAUAUAUAUUGAGAAUUUUGUAUAAUAAAACAUUUUUUGAAAGGGAGGCACAUGAGACAAGAUGCUAACAUUUAUUAUAUCUUUAUACUUGAUUGUGUGUAUAUUUGAUAAUUAAAAGGAAAUUAGGGGUGCCUGGGUGGCUCAGUCAGUUCAGUGUCUGACUCUUGAUUUCAGCUCAGAUCAUGAUCUUAUGAUCUCAGGUCUGUGAGUUUGAGCCCCACAUUGGACUCUGAGCCGACAGCACGGGCCUGCUUGGGAUUCUCUCUCUGCCCCUCCCCUGCUUGUGCUCUGUCUCCUUCUCACUCA